rnacentral:rRNA from 1 species
UAACUGAAGAGUUUGAUCAUGGCUCAGAUUGAACGCUGGCGGCAGGCUUAACACAUGCAAGUCGAGCGGGGGAAGGUAGCUUGCUACUGGACCUAGCGGCGGACGGGUGAGUAAUGCUUAGGAAUCUGCCUAUUAGUGGGGGACAACAUCUCGAAAGGGAUGCUAAUACCGCAUACGUCCUACGGGAGAAAGCAGGGGAUCUUCGGACCUUGCGCUAAUAGAUGAGCCUAAGUCGGAUUAGCUAGUUGGUGGGGUAAAGGCCUACCAAGGCGACGAUCUGUAGCGGGUCUGAGAGGAUGAUCCGCCACACUGGGACUGAGACACGGCCCAGACUCCUACGGGAGGCAGCAGUGGGGAAUAUUGGACAAUGGGGGGAACCCUGAUCCAGCCAUGCCGCGUGUGUGAAGAAGGCCUUAUGGUUGUAAAGCACUUUAAGCGAGGAGGAGGCUACUUUAGUUAAUACCUAGAGAUAGUGGACGUUACUCGCAGAAUAAGCACCGGCUAACUCUGUGCCAGCAGCCGCGGUAAUACAGAGGGUGCGAGCGUUAAUCGGAUUUACUGGGCGUAAAGCGUGCGUAUGGCGGCUUAUUAAGUCGGAUGUGAAAUCCCCGAGCUUAACUUGGGAAUUGCAUUCGAUACUGGUGAGCUAGAGUAUGGGAGAGGAUGGUAGAAUUCCAGGUGUAGCGGUGAAAUGCGUAGAGAUCUGGAGGAAUACCGAUGGCGAAGGCAGCCAUCUGGCCUAAUACUGACGCUGAGGUACGAAAGCAUGGGGAGCAAACAGGAUUAGAUACCCUGGUAGUCCAUGCCGUAAACGAUGUCUACUAGCCGUUGGGGCCUUUGAGGCUUUAGUGGCGCAGCUAACGCGAUAAGUAGACCGCCUGGGGAGUACGGUCGCAAGACUAAAACUCAAAUGAAUUGACGGGGCCCGCACAAGCGGUGGAGCAUGUGGUUUAAUUCGAUGCAACGCGAAGAACCUUACCUGGCCUUGACAUACUAGAAACUUUCCAGAGAUGGAUUGGUGCCUUCGGGAAUCUAGAUACAGGUGCUGCAUGGCUGUCGUCAGCUCGAUGUCGUGAGAUGUUUGGGUUAAGUCCCGCAACGAGCGCAACCCUUUUCCUUACUUGCCAGCAUUUCGGAUGGGAACUUUAAGGAUACUGCCAGUGACAAACUGGAGGAAGGCGGGGACGACGUCAAGUCAUCAUGGCCCUUACGGCCAGGGCUACACACGUGCUACAAUGGUCGGUACAAAGGGUUGCUACACAGCGAUGUGAUGCUAAUCUCAAAAAGCCGAUCGUAGUCCGGAUUGGAGUCUGCAACUCGACUCCAUGAAGUCGGAAUCGCUAGUAAUCGCGGAUCAGAAUGCCGCGGUGAAUACGUUCCCGGGCCUUGUACACACCGCCCGUCACACCAUGGGAGUUUGUUGCACCAGAAGUAGCUAGCCUAACUGCAAAGAGGGCGGUUACCACGGUGUGGCCGAUGACUGGGGUGAAGUCGUAACAAGGUAGCCGUAGGGGAACCUGCGGCUGGAUCACCUCCUUA